rnacentral:lncRNA from 1 species
UUUAAUGCUCAUACAAACAAGCACUCAGUUGGGUUUAAUCAGGCCACAGUGCCUAGACCCCCUAUUUUCAAACCCAGAGUUAAUUUUGAGCAAAGCAGAUGGCCCUUAUUUUGCAGAUACUGCAAGAAAUCUGGGCACUUAAUUGAUAAGUGCUACAAGAUCCAUGAGUUUCCUCAAAACAUAAAUUACAACAAGGGAAGGAAAUCUACAGCUUCUCAUAUCUCCACUGGUGAUGAAUGUGUGUCUGUUAAUCAUGGGAAUCCUAAUUUGUCUGUUUCUCUUGGGAUCCUUCUGCCAGCCAUCACCAUGUUACACACAUGG